rnacentral:rRNA from 1 species
AUUGAACGCUGGCGGCAGGCCUAACACAUGCAAGUCGAGCGGAUGAAGGGAGCUUGCUCCUGGAUUCAGCGGCGGACGGGUGAGUAAUGCCUAGGAAUCUGCCUGGUAGUGGGGGAUAACGUCCGGAAACGGGCGCUAAUACCGCAUACGUCCUGAGGGAGAAAGUGGGGGAUCUUCGGACCUCACGCUAUCAGAUGAGCCUAGGUCGGAUUAGCUAGUUGGUGGGGUAAAGGCCUACCAAGGCGACGAUCCGUAACUGGUCUGAGAGGAUGAUCAGUCACACUGGAACUGAGACACGGUCCAGACUCCUACGGGAGGCAGCAGUGGGGAAUAUUGGACAAUGGGCGAAAGCCUGACCCAGCCAUGCCGCGUGUGUGAAGAAGGUCUUCGGAUUGUAAAGCACUUUAAGUUGGGAGGAAGGGCAGCAAGUUAAUACCUUGCUGUUUUGACGUUACCAACAGAAUAAGCACCGGCUAACUUCGUG